rnacentral:lncRNA from 1 species
GUCAAUUUGCCAACCUCCUUCUCUAUCGACACCUAAUCUUCUCUCAUAUGUGUUUACAGAAAAAGGUUCACUCUCCUCUCUCUCUAUGACUGUCGGCUGCUCCUCUUCCUUUUUCCUAUUUUCUUUUGUUUAAUUAAAAGACCUAAAGUGGAAGAUGAAAGAUUUACACAAAUACCAUUGAGGCAUAAUUACCAAUUUACUGUCAACAUAAAACUCAUUUUAAACUAUUUAAAUAUUUGUCAUUUUUAUACAAAGUCAUUU